AACCACCUCAGCCUCGCUUCUCGCAUCUUCUCAUCCACCGGGCCACCCCCACCUUCUCUCGAAUAACUUCAUUAUUAAUCUUAUCUAGCCUGGUGUGACCGCACAUCCACCUAAGCAUCCUCAUCUCCGCAACCUUCGUUCUCUGAACAUGAGAGUUCUUCACGGUCCAGCACUCCGCCCCAUACAACAUCGCAGGUCUAACCACGGCU
rnacentral:lncRNA from 1 species